rnacentral:rRNA from 1 species
UGGGGAAUAUUGCACAAUGGGCGAAAGCCUGAUGCAGCGACGCCGCGUGAGGGAUGACGGCCUUCGGGUUGUAAACCUCUUUCAGCAGGGACGAAGCGCAAGUGACGGUACCUGCAGAAGAAGCACCGGCUAACUACGUGCCAGCAGCCGCGGUAAUACGUAGGGUGCAAGCGUUGUCCGGAAUUACUGGGCGUAAAGAGUUCGUAGGCGGUUUGUCGCGUCGUUCGUGAAAACCAGCAGCUCAACUGCUGGCUUGCAGGCGAUACGGGCAGACUUGAGUACUGCAUGGGAGACUGGAAUUCCUGGUGUAGCGGUGAAAUGCGCAGAUAUCAGGAGGAACACCGGUGGCGAAGGCGGGUCUCUGGGCAGUAACUGACGCUGAGGAACGAAAGCGUGGGUAGCGAACAGG